CCAUUUAAGCGUGUAAUGUUUUGUUUGUGAUUGGGGAAAAAUAAAAAAAAUCGAACGGUCAAAGUGCAAGACGCUUCUUUGCUUUCCGCUUUUUUUGAUUCUGCUAGUGGUUGAAUAGUGAAUCAUUGUCUACUGUGCCUUGUCAUGAUGAACUAUGAAGCUCACUGGAAACCGUAGUUUGCCAUCAAUCGUCAACGUUUUCCAUACAAAACAGCUGCUGCUAUUCGUUAGUCAUAUCCACCGAAUAUAAGAGCUGAUACAGGAUCAGUCCCAAAGAGGAUGCCGGAAGAUAGCGGCCGCAUCAAGCACCGCAAUUAUUACAAUUAGACUACGAACACCAGUACUCUUUACCAGCAGCAACACUUACGGCAUGCUCAGCGAGUAGCUUUGAAGAGCGCUCAGUAACAGGAUAAAAUAAACUCUAAAAUUUAGUUAAAACUAAAUUUCAAAGCAAAGAAAUAAAAUGAAUUGUAAGACCUUUAAUUGUAUUGUAUUUCUAUUGUAGUAUUGGUGUGAGAUGUAUUCCAAAUAGUAUUGUAUUUCUACUGUAA